AUUGAACGCUGGCGGCAUGCCUUACACAUGCAAGUCGAACGGCAGCACGGGUGCUUGCACCUGGUGGCGAGUGGCGAGCGGGUGAGUAAUACAUCGGAACAUGUCCUGUAGUGGGGGAUAGCCCGGCGAAAGCCGGAUUAAUACCGCAUACGAUCUACGGAUGAAAGCGGGGGACCUUCGGGCCUCGCGCUAUAGGGUUGGCCGAUGGCUGAUUAGCUAGUUGGUGGGGUAAAGGCCUACCAAGGCGACGAUCAGUAGCUGGUCUGAGAGGACGACCAGCCACACUGGGACUGAGACACGGCCCAGACUCCUACGGGAGGCAGCAGUGGGGAAUUUUGGACAAUGGGCGAAAGCCUGAUCCAGCAAUGCCGCGUGUGUGAAGAAGGCCUUCGGGUUGUAAAGCACUUUUGUCCGGAAAGAAAUCCUUGGCUCUAAUACAGUCGGGGGAUGACGGUACCGGAAGAAUAAGCACCGGCUAACUACGUG
rnacentral:rRNA from 1 species